CCCUGGUUAGCUCAGUUGGUAGAGCGCUCCACCUGUAAUGGAUAGGUCUCGAAUUCGAUACCCGGACCACGGA
rfam:Ixodes scapularis strain Wikel colony gcontig_1108379746548, whole genome shotgun sequence.